UAAAGAGGUGCCAAGCGUUAGGCGGAAUCACUGGGCUUAAAGCGCGUGUAGGCGGGUCGUUAAGUGUCCGAGUGAAAUCCCACGGCUCAACCGUGGAACUGCCGGGCAUACUGGCGAUCUUGAGGCAUUCAGGGGCGAGCGGAACAAAUGGUGGAGCGGUGAAAUGCGUAGAUAUCAUUUGGAACGCCAAUGGUGAAAACAGCUCGCUGGGAAUGAUCUGACGCUGAGACGCGAAAGCCAGGGGAGCGAGCGGG
rnacentral:rRNA from 1 species